CGUGCGCACGCAAGAGAGACAGGAUCCACAAGAGCGAGAGAGCGCGCGCGAGAGACACGCCCUGCUGCAGGUCGAUAACGGAACCGACGCAUCCUCUCUCGCGGCUCUCCGGUAGCUCUCCUGCUUUACACUACCUCGUCAACCCAUCCCGCACCCCUCUUUCCUUCACCCUCCUUCGCCCGCUCACGCCCGUCCGGGCCCAUCUUUUCGACCUUCUCCUUCUAUCGCGCGCGCAUAGUCACGUACCACACCCGUCAUUCUAUCCGUGCCGAUCGAGAAAGCGGACUCCCGCAUACCUACUCCAUCGUAGGGUGUAUGCCCACGAGUUACCCCUUCCUCCAACCUCUUCCAAUCCUUCUUUCCGUGCGCGUCCCUCUUCUCGCACGCUCCAAUCUUUCCCGAAGAUACCACCGUGCCGUGGAUCGCAUUAUCACGCGCAUCUAAACCUAUCCGAGAGAAGGCUGGCGUAGCUGGCUACGGACCGUGUGUUUCGUAUACGUACGAUUCUACGCAGUAGCGUAUAACUAGAUGUCCCUCUAUUACCCUCUACAUUAUCAUUUUCACUCGUCUCAAAUCUAAUCUGACGUAACGCGUUAGAAAGUCGAUCGAUAUACACUACAUGCGCAUGUUUUCUGUUGCAAGUAUGAGCGAUAAUUCAUCGAGAGAAUUUCUUUGCUGACAAGUGUCAUAUUUAAGAGAAAUUUGAUCAAUCUUUCCUCCAGUUACAACACCGCGAUGUUACUUUGCGCGUACAAAUGUAUAUGUGUACAAGUACACACGCACACGUAAGAUUCGUAUCGUCGCAUCGAACGAUGACGACGACGACGACGAUUCUUUUCCUUCUUCUCGUCCCUUUUUUCGUUGCGACAUCAGCCCGGUCGAAAGUAUCCUUUUCCCUCUCUCUUUCCGAAGGGUAUCGUCCUUUUCUUCGGGGCUGCCUUGUUUCGUCAGCCCUUCGAGCGCCCCUUUUGCUUGUCCCCAGUGUCCUACACCCUUCUCUCUUUCCGCCAUCCUCUCCGACUCAUUGUCAGAAGUGACUCAGAAAAUUUUCAUCGAUAGAUGAGUGUAACUUUCACGACAGCGGUUUUUAUUGUGACUCGCGCGAUAUUGAUCAUUGAAACAUUAACUAAACCGCAUAAACUAAAUGCGUUUUGUUAAAGUUGCGAAUCUCGAAAACAUUAUUCGGGGUGUGUUUCAUUUUUUAUAUCGCUUAAUGAUAAUCAAAAAAUCUGCGAAACAUCAUCGUUCGACUCGUCGUAUAUCAGUUGUAAAGAUUGGAAAUUAAAAAUGAAAAUUAAAAAUCAAAAUAUUACAGAAUCCUUUGAAAAGUUACCUGUACUGGACAUUAACAAAGCUCGUUGGCGCAGCUGAAAGAGUACAAUAUCUGAAUAUUCUUUCAUUAUCGGAAAAAUCUGAUACUUACUUUCAUGUUGUUGACAAUGCGAUAUGCAUAAUAUUUCGCGAGAAGAAUUUUAACAAAUAAAAUAACUGCACUUUUUAUUUCAAAGGUGAACAAAUUUCGAUGCAUUCAUAAAAAUAAAACAGGGCAUUGAACCUCAACAAGAUAAAAAAUGCUUGCAUAUAACAAAAAUCUCAUUUAGUAUGAACGAUGAGGUAAUGCAACUUUCAAGCGCAUUUCGAAAGGUAUGCAAAAAUAUUUCUCUUUAGAUUCUCUUUAAUUGUGUAGCACCAAAAUUGAUUAAGAGAUAUAUUGCGAUAAAAACUAAUGGUAUAAAAAUUCGGAGCAAAAAUAAAGAUAUUUUGAAGCGAAUAUAAUGACACAUUUGUUACUCGCUGGAAAGAAAGAGAGAGAGAGAGAGAGAAAGAAAAGGAAAAUUCCACGAUACAAACACAUUCCGUAGAAUUAUAAUUUCGCAAAUUCCUCGCAAACUAAGUUUGAAUGAAAGUCGACGCGGACGAAUCCACGCUCCACUUUACGAGCUUCCGCAACGCUAACACCAAACUUUAUCCCUCGGAAGGGAAAGAGAGAGGCCAAGAGUGAGCCCGUAGAGAGUUAGAUUUUACAAGGUUCCAUUUACAUAAUUCCCCGAAAUGUGUUAGUGUUGCCCGUUUCCCAUCCAUUUUCAAAUACGGCCUAACAAGUAACAAUAUCUCGUUAUCCGACACGAUGUCUUUUCACCUCUCCUCUUUUCCACCUCUUACCAUCGAUGGGGAUAUUUAUUGUCCCGAAUUGGACAGAACCCACCAUUACAAAGGGACGAUAGAUUCGCAGCGUGAUCUCUUCGUUGAACGAUCACUGAAGCUUGAAAAAUAUACGCGGUGUUUCCUAAGCUACAGCGAGGCAAACUGGAAAGCCGAUAGGUUACAGUUACUUAUACGUGUGGUCGAUGCACGUUGGUCGGCUGGCUAGCUUACCUGACCGCGUUACAAGCGCGUGCCUACUCUGUGUCUGUUCUGUGUGACUCCAGUUGAAUGCGAAGAAACGGGUCGAAAGAAAAAAAACCAUCGUCGUGUGACAGUUGGUGUCUAGAGUCAUUCAUUCUUUCAUUGUUGGUCUGUGACGGAUUGAGAGAGAGAGAGAGAGAGAAAGGGAGAGUGAUUGUUGAAUAUUUGUUCCAUAAAGAGAGCAAAAUAAUGAAAAUAGGGAGGUGAAAGCGAUUCGUAGUGCAAGGGAUUCCGUCGAAUAGGCAGAUUUGCGAGGGCGAAAGGCAACUACGGGUGCUGACGGAAAAAGCACGGAGUAACUCGACGAGGGGGUAAAUAUGCGACAACUUAGCGUCCGCGUAUAAAUCUAGCAACGUUCACGGUGACAAGUCACGCAGCGCGGAACCUUCUAGUUUAGAUCGCUGUCCGUUCGUCCACCUAUAUACAUAUAUAGGUGCCGCAACGCGAGGUAAGGGUAAGUUAGGUUACUCCGACUGGGGAACAGAAGGGUGUAUCGCAAAAAUUUUUUAAAGUCUCGGAAUUAAAAAAAAAUUUGCUUUCUUUGAAUUAUAGCGUGCAUUGACGCAAGAUAAAUAAGCAGGU